rnacentral:rRNA from 1 species
AUACGGAGGAUCCGAGCGUUAUCCGGAUUUAUUGGGUUUAAAGGGUGCGCAGGCGGGAGAUUAAGUCGGCGGUGAAAUUUUGCAGCUCAACUGUAAAAGUGCCUUCGAAACUGGUUUCCUUGAGUGUAGAUGAAGUAGGCGGAAUUUGGGGUGUAGCGGUGAAAUGCAUAGAUAUCACGAGGAACUCCGAUUGCGCAGGCAGCUUACUAAACUACUACUGACGCUCAGGCACGAAGGCGUGGGGAUCAAACAGGAUUAGAUACCCUGGUAGUCCACGCAGUAAACGAUGAUUACUAGCUGUUUGCGAUACAAUGUAAGCGGCUGAGCGAAAGCGUUAAGUAAUCCACCUGGGGAGUACGUUCGCAAGAAUGAAACUCAAAUGAAUUGACGGGG